rnacentral:rRNA from 1 species
CAGUCGCGUUUGCUGGGACUCAACCUUGCUUUUGCCUGGUGUACUUCUCAGUAAAUGGGCCAGCAUCAAUUUCGGGCGCCGGAAAAGGAUUUGAGGAAUGUGACAGCUUGCUGUGUUAUAGCCUCUUGUCGUACACGGUGCUUGGGAUUGAGGACUGCAGCACGCCGCAAGGCCGGGUUUUUAACCACGUACGUGCUUAGGAUGUUGGCAUAAUGGCUUUAAGCGACCCGUCUUGAAACACGGACCAAGGAGUCUAACAUGUGUGCGAGUGUU